UGAACCAAUUUUCUUCGUAAU
rnacentral:piRNA from 1 species